UACGAAGGGGGCUAGCGUUGCUCGGAAUCACUGGGCGUAAAGCGCACGUAGGCGGAUUGCUAAGUCAGGGGUGAAAUCCUGGAGCUCAACUCCAGAACUGCCUUUGAUACUGGUGAUCUUGAGUCCGGGAGAGGUGAGUGGAACUGCGAGUGUAGAGGUGAAAUUCGUAGAUAUUCGCAAGAACACCAGUGGCGAAGGCGGCUCACUGGCCCGGUACUGACGCUGAGGUGCGGAAAGCGUGGGGAGCAAACAGGGAUUAGAACGA
rnacentral:rRNA from 1 species